rnacentral:rRNA from 1 species
AUUAGGUAGACGGUGGGGUAACGGCCCACCGUGCCAGUAAUUGGUACGGGUUGUGAGAGCAAGAGCCCGGAGACGGUAUCUGAAGACAAGAUACCGGGCCCUACGGGGCGCAGCAGGCGCGAAACCUUUACACUGCACGCGAGUGCGAUAAGGGGACUCCAGGUGCGAGGGCAUAUAGUCCUCGCUUUUCUCGACCGUAGGGAGGUCGAGGAACAAGUGCUGGGCAAGACCGGUGCCAGCCGCCGCGGUAAUACCGGCAGCACAAGUGAUGACCGCUGUUAUUGGGCCUAAAGCGUCCGUAACUGGCCGCCCAAAUUUUAUCGGGAAAUUUUUCCGCUUAACGGAAAGGCGUCCGGGGGAAACUGCCUGGCUUGGGACCGGAAGACCAGAGGGGUACGUCUGGGGUAGGAGUGAAAUCCCGUAAUCCUGGACGGACCACCGUGGGCGAAAGCGCCUCUGGAAGACGGAUCCGACGGUGAGGGACGAAAGCUCGGGUCACGAACCGGAUUAGAUACCCGGGUAGUCCGAGCUGUAAACGAUGUCUGCUAGGUGUGACACAGGCUACGAGCCUGUGUUGUCCCGUAGGAAGCCGUGAAGCAGACCGCCUGGGAAGUACGUCCGCAAGGAUGAAACUUAAAGGAAUUGGCGGGGGAGCACUACAACCGGAGGAGCCUGCGGUUUAAUUGGACUCAACGCCGGACAUCUCACCAGCAUCGACAGUGUGCAGUGACGGUCAGUGUGAUGAGCUUACCUGAGCCACUGAGAGGAGGUGCAUGGCCGCCGUCAGCUCGUACCGUGAGGCGUCCUGUUAAGUCAGGCAACGAGCGAGACCCGCACCCUUAAUUGCCAGCAACACCCUUGUGGUGGUUGGGUACAUUAAGAGGACUGCCAGUGCCAAACUGGAGGAAGGAACGGGCAACGGUAGGUCAGUAUGCCCCGAAUGUGCUGGGCGACACGCGGGCUACAAUGGUCGAGACAGUGGGAUGCAACGCCGAAAGGCGACGCUAAUCUCCGAAACUCGAUCGUAGUUCGGAUUGAGGGCUGAAACUCGCCCUCAUGAAGCUGGAUUCGGUAGUAAUCGCGCCUCAGAAGGGCGCGGUGAAUACGUCCCUGCUCCUUGCACACACCGCCCGUCAAAGCACCCGAGUGGGGUCCGGAUGAGGCCCGGUUUCCGGGUCGAAUCGGGUCCG